rnacentral:tRNA from 1 species
GGGGAAUUAGCUCAGAUGGCUAGAGCGCCUGCUUUGCACGCAGGAGGUCAUCGGUUCGACUCCGAUAUUCUCCA